GCAAGCCUGAUCCAGCCAUNCCGCGUGCAGGAUGAAGGCCUUCGGGUUGUAAACUGCUUUUGUACGGAACGAAGAGGUCUCUCCUAAUACNAGAGGCUCAUGACGGUACCGUNAGAAUAAGCACCGGCUAACUACGUGCCAGCAGCCGCGGUAAUACGUAGGGUGCAAGCGUUAAUCGGAAUUACUGGGCGUAAAGCGUGCGCAGGCGGUUAUAUAAGACAGAUGUGAAAUCCCCGGGCUCAACCUGGGAACUGCAUUUGUGACUGUAUAGCUAGAGUACGGUAGAGGGGGAUGGAAUUCCGCGUGUAGCAGUGAAAUGCGUAGAUAUGCGGAGGAACACCGAUGGCGAAGGCAAUCCCCUGGACCUGUACUGACGCUCAUGCACGAAAGCGUGGGGAGCAAACAGA
rnacentral:rRNA from 1 species